rnacentral:misc_RNA from 1 species
UCCACCUCUAGCCAUUGCUCCACCAGGCCCCUCUCUUCAUUGCUCUUUCCAAGCAAGUCAGUCCCCUGGAACUUGUAUUUUUCUGCAAUAUAACUUAUGAUUGCUCGUGAUUCUACACAUUGAAUUGAACCAAUUGUCAUCAAGAUCAGGUCCAGUUAAGGAAAAUACAUACUUAAAAUUUAAUAUAGGAUUGCUAAUCAGCAAUUACCGUAUAAAGUGUAAUCUCUAUUUUGAAUUACAGGAAUUACUCCAAAAGGCUUGAAUUGACAGGAAAUAGAAGCAAAUUCAGAGCAAAUCAUGGCCAGAAUGAAUAUACAAAAGAAAUAGGAAAAAAUAGAAACCUGUAAGUUGAGAUAAUCAGGGCUUUUAUUCUCUCCUUUCUUCUUUCUUAAGAUCCACAGGUACAGUUUCAAAUUCAGUACCCUUCUCAAUAAGGCAAAGCAAGACGGGAUUGACAGAAGCACAGGCUGCACCAUGCACCUCCACUACCAUUUUUCUCCUAUCUCAAACUAGCCAAGCCAAAACUGGGUUAUUGAGAGAAUCUUAGGACUCUGUUUCUAUUCUUGUGAACAAUACAAGGGUUAAUUUGCUUGUCAAUCAUGGAUUACGUACAUCAUAGCUCAAGAAAGUUGAUAGGUGAAGAUUUUAUAGCAUGUGAAAGUUGCACAUGCUCAGUUGAGGUUGGUAGUUGCCCUAUUUUUUAAUGUUCUCUUUCUAUUAUCCCUGGUAUGCAAAAUUCAGAAAUAUUCAGCUUUAUUGAAUCCAUUCUGCAUAGUUCAUAAUUGUG